UACGAAGGGGGCUAGCGUUGUUCGGAAUUACUGGGCGUAAAGCGCACGUAGGCGGAUUGUUAAGUUAGGGGUGAAAUCCCAGGGCUCAACCCUGGAACUGCCUUUAAUACUGGCAAUCUAGAGUCCGAGAGAGGUGAGUGGAAUUCCGAGUGUAGAGGUGAAAUUCGUAGAUAUUCGGAGGAACACCAGUGGCGAAGGCGGCUCACUGGCUCGGUACUGACGCUGAGGUGCGAAAGCGUGGGGAGC
rnacentral:rRNA from 1 species